UACGUAGGGCGCAAGCGUUGUCCGGAAUUAUUGGGCGUAAAGAGCUCGUAGGCGGUUUGUCGCGUCUGUCGUGAAAGCCCACAGCUUAACUGUGGGUCUGCGGUGGAUACGGGCAGACUAGAGGCAGGUAGGGGAGAACGGAAUUCCCGGUGUAGCGGUGAAAUGCGCAGAUAUCUGGAGGAACACCGGUGGCGAAGGCGGCAUCCUGGACCGGCAUUGACGCUGAGGCACGAAAGCUAGGGGAGCAAACGGG
rnacentral:rRNA from 1 species